CUGCCAGUAUUAGCACAGGGCUUGACUUCAGGUGCAGCAGAAUUCCCCAGCCCCCCAAGGAUUUGAGACCCAUCAGCUUUCCUCACCUGGUUUAGCCGGCCUGUUGAAGCCGUUGCUUGAACCCCUGUUGCAUGCUGACAGCUUCUGGAAGCCACAGGAUUUCCUUUCUGCCCACUCUGAAAAAGUUGAUGGAGAAGACAGAAUUGCAGGGGACAGGGCACCUUUCGUUUCAUUAGGAAUAGCCAUUAAAAUGUGUGAAAUGUGGAAUAUGCUUCACUGAAUGAGCACACAUAGUUCACAUCAACGAACACAAAAA